AGAGAGAUAGCUGACGUG
rnacentral:miRNA from 1 species